rnacentral:rRNA from 1 species
CUACGGGCGGCUGCAGUGGGGAAUAUUGGACAAUGGGGGAAACCCUGAUCCAGCAAUGCCGCGUGUGUGAAGAAGGCCUGCGGGUUGUAAAGCACUUUCGGUUGGGAGGACUGCUUCUAGCACUAAUAUUGUUGGAAGUUGACGUUACCUUCAGAAGAAGCACCGGGUAACUCCGUGCCAGCAGCCGCGGUAAUAGCGGAGGGUGCAAGCGUUAAUCGGAAUUACUGGGCGUAAAGCGCGCGUAGGCGGCUAGAUCAGUCGGGUGUGAAAGCCCCGGGCUUAACCUGGGAACUGCAUCCGAUACUGUCUAGCUUGAGUACAGGAGAGGAGAGUGGAAUUCCACAUGUAGCGGUGAAAUGCGUAGAUAUGUGGAGGAACACCAAUGGCGAAGGCAGCUCUCUGGCCUGAUACUGACGCUGAGGUGCGAAAGCGUGGGGAGCAAACAGGAUUAGAUACCCCGGUAGUC